rnacentral:rRNA from 1 species
UACGUAGGGUCCGAGCGUUGUCCGGAAUUAUUGGGCGUAAAGGGCUCGUAGGCGGUCCGUCACGUCGGGAGUGAAAACUCAGGGCUCAACCCUGAGCGUGCUUCCGAUACGGGCGGACUAGAGGUAUGCAGGGGAGAACGGAAUUCCUGGUGUAGCGGUGGAAUGCGCAGAUAUCAGGAGGAACACCGGUGGCGAAGGCGGUUCUCUGGGCAUUACCUGACGCUGAGGAGCGAAAGCAUGGGGAGCGAACAGGAUUAGAUACCCCCGUAGUCC